GAACUUGUUCUUAACUCUCUACUCCACAUGUACAUAGCGGGGAACCCUAGAGGGACAGAAGGGUUCCCUGUCCCUCCAAUCCUCAUGGAGCUUAACAACAAUCAUUUCCCAGAGGUUUCUUGUCCUAGAACCUAUUAAGUUAAUGGCUGUGGAGUAGACUGAAGUUGAGUUGGCUUGUGAUAACUCUGUGCCCUUGACUUUAGAACAUAUUCUUUACAGAAGUAUGCUCAGUUACUCGGGCCUGUGGAGCUACAUUUGUAGUUACCAUUGACCAGAGGAGC
rnacentral:lncRNA from 1 species